rnacentral:lncRNA from 13 species
CUUGAUUUCAAUGUCUACAGACUUAGAUUUCUGAUCCAUCUGGACCUGUCUUUAUUUAGCCCAAACAUAGACUAUGAUCUGUUCAGAUUUGGUCUGGUCCAGGCCGGCCUUGUUUUGGCCCAAACAUAGACGUCUAUGAUUGGUUCAAAUUUGGUCCAGCAUUUGGCAAAAAUUGGAGACAUAUGGUUUUCAGUGGAAAAGGAAGAGAGAAUAUGAAUCGACUUCCGCUUUAGAAUGUGUGAAAAGAUGAAAGAUAGAAAUGUAUAUAAUAUUGCCUGUUUUUCUUUGAGAUUAAAUUCUUGACACAAAGUCAACAGACACCACAUAACAAUUUUGUUGAUGUCUUCUUUGGCAGAGAUUACAUUAAUGCUAGAUAACACUUGCUAUCUUGCUCUCUGAAGUUGUUUCCAUCCUGAAUAUUAACAAGGUGACACUCCAUCUUAACUCCUCCUCCACAUUUACUGGAUUGGUUGAACAGUCCAGAAGAGAACCUUCCCCGACAUUUGACCAGAAUAUGGGUAAUUUAGUUUCAGGUGUUUCUUUUACCCGUGCUACGUUAGGUUAAUCCAGACCUGCCAAAUUUGGUCUUGUUUGGGGGCAGAGCUCAUUGGAAUAAUACCCAGGGUGCUUUGCAAGUGUUCAUUUUUAUAUUUACAAUUUGGUCAUUUAACAGACACUUAUCCAGAGCCACUCACAGUGCAUACAACUAAAGUAGCUAAACAACUACAUAUCACAGUCAUACACUCCCACAGUUUUAAUUUGAAGAACCCCUAAAGGACACUCCAGGAACCUUUUUCUUUUUAGAGUGGAGAAAGUAAAAUGUUUCUGUAACCCAUGCUGAGAAGUUAAAGAGUUCUGUUGGUGGUGUCAGAAAACUUUGAACAUGUUCACUGCCAAUUCUAAAGCAUUUGAAAAGGCUAAGAGGCGUUUGGUGAUCGUGUUUGGUGAAGGACAUAACCAAGUAGGUGAACUUUCUCUGUUCAUUUCUCUCCAUGUCUCUCUUUCUCUUGGUCUCUCUCUAACUCUCUUUGUUUUUGCUGUAUGUGUGUGGGUGUGUGGGUGUGUGUGCGUGCGUGCGUGCGUGCGUGCGUGUGUGUGUGUGUGUGUGUGUGUGUGUGUGUGUGAGUCUGUUUUCUCUCUGUCUGUUGUGUUGUGGGAGGGGGAGGCGGUCCACUGGCUAGCCAUAUAA